CACAAGCGGAGGAGCAUGUGGUUAAUUCGAUGAUACGCGAGGAACCUUACCUGGGCUCGAACGUAAGAUGACUGUAGGUGAAAGCUUACAUCUCUUCGGAGCAUUUUACGAGGUGCUGCAUGGUUGUCGUCAGCUCGUGCCGUGAGGUGUCGGGUUAAGUCCCAUAACGAGCGCAACCCCUACCUUAGUUGCCAUCGGGUAAUGCUGGGGACUCUAAAGGAACUGCCUACGCAAGUAGUGAGGAAGGCGGGGAUGACGUCAAAUCAGCACGGCCCUUACGUCCAGGGCUACACACGUGCUACAAUGGCCGAUACAGAGGGCAGCUACCUGGUGACAGGAUGCAAAUCUCCAAAGUCGGUCUCAGUUCGGAUCGGAGUCUGCAACCCGACUCCGUGAAGUUGGAUUCGCUAGUAAUCGCGCAUCAGCCAUGGCGCGGUGAAUACGUUCCCGGGCCUU
rnacentral:rRNA from 1 species